UCGCACUAGCCGGGGAGAUAGCGGUGCCCUGUAACCUGCAAUCCGCUAUAGCAGGGGUGAAUUCCCGCACCCGGAUCAUUUGCAGAAUCGUCUGGCCUGCGUAAGCAGCGUUGAAGGACCGGUCUUGCGCAACAAGAUCCCGUGAACCAUGUCAGGUGGGGAACCAAGCAGCAUUAAGCGGGUCAACUUGUGUGCCGCGAGGUUGCCGUUCCCGAGUUGGUUGCGCCGGUAUCGGAUUUUGCGGUGGUUCAAAUGUGGGUGUGCGA
rnacentral:SRP_RNA from 1 species